rnacentral:sRNA from 1 species
AGAUAUUUUUGUCAGUGAGGAGAGGGGAAGAGGGUAGAGAUAGUUGAAAGUUCUCUUCUGAUUGUCUGCUGAGCAUAAGGGAGGUGGUGAUCAAGUAGACUUGAGGAAGGUGUAGAGAAUAGAAUGAAGCAAUGAUGGAGAUAGAAGAUUUUCAGGGUAGCAUCAAGGGCCCAGCCAAGAUGGAGACCAUGAUUUUGCAGUGGUCCAAUCCUGCUGUUUUGUGAUUUUUCUCCCUUCCCUCCAGUAGGGUACAGUAGCCAGGGUCAGGGGCACAGCAGGCAGAUGUUAGAAUGAUCCAGGGUUGAAAGUUUUGCCCAUUGGUUGUGACAGAAGAAAAGAGACAGAUCGUUGAGAGUAUUGGCUAGAUUGCGUUUGAGGUGAUGGAUCACUACAUGUAGGCCAGCAGGGAAGGAAGCAAGGAUGAGAGAAGACUGAGAACAGAAGGCAAAUAGAGGGGUCAUAGUACUGGAGUCUGGAGAAGGUUCAACAGUAGGACUUUGGUGAUAGGAGCAUCCUUGUUCUGAGAAUUCCAUGUCCAGAGAUGACCUGUCUGUGAUGAAUAAGACAAAAUUACUCUACAAGGUACUACAGGGGUAGAAAACUACCAGUGAUGUUUAUCUCUUUACUGAGGGGACUAAGGAAGGGUGCCAAAGAUACUUUUAUUUUUUUAUUGUAAAUAUUUUCUACUGUUUGGUAGUACUGUUUGAUUUUUUUUUUUUUAACUUGUAUGUACUACUCUUUUUUUUUUUUUUUUUUUGAAACAGUCUCACUCUGUUGCCCAGGCUGGAGUGCAGUGGUUCAGUCUCUGCUCACUGUAGCCUCCGUCUCUUGGGUUCAAGUGAUUCUCCUGCCUCAGCCUCCUGAGUAGCUGGGAUUACAGGGCCCACCACCAUGACCAGCUAAUUUGUUUGUAUUUUUAGUAGAGACGGGGUCUCACCGUGUUGGCCAGGCUGGUCUCUUAACUCCUGACCUUAAGUGAUCCGCCUGCCUCAGCCUCCCAAAGUGCUGAGAUUAUGGACCUGAGCCACCUCACCAGGCCUAUACAACUGUUUUGAUUUAAAAAAAAAGAUACAAAGUUUUCAGUGAACCCAAAGAGAAGAGUAGGUUUAUAUGAAAGCAGGGAGAUGAGUGAGCUGCAGAGGUAGGAGGCUGUGGUCCUGGAAUGGGACCCUGGAGUGUAUUAUCUGUCUGUGGAAUCACAAGGUCUUAGAUCUGAAGAGGAGUAGCUGGAAUCUGGUCCCACCCUGCCAUUGUUUACAGGGAAGGAAAUGGGAGCCCUGAGACUUACUCAGCUUGGCAGCAGCAAAACCAGAACCAGAAGCAACCUGUCCUGAUUUCCCAGCCCUCUGGUCUGUUUUUCAUGCUACCUUCUAAGCCCUGGAGGCUUCUCAAUUUCCUGCUGUUCCAGCUGGACUCAUGGCACAUGUGCUCAUGACAUUGCUGGCUGAUGGGGCUGUUUGCCGUACUGUGCUUCCCACACGUUGGUGCUUCUCAGUGUUCAGGGUGUGGGCGGGUGUGUGUAGAGGUGGCUGUACUACUGUCCCCUCCCUAUUUCCUGCCCUCUUCAUAGCCAGGCAAAGUAGCAACUUGGAGGCGGAAAACCACAGUGGUGAUACCCUAUUUACAUCCUUUGCAAUGACCUAGUGUCCCUCCUGUUUUGCCAGCUCUCGUGUUGCUGCCUCCCCCAAACAUCCCUCUCAUAAUUUGUUUAAACAGCAGCCAUGCCCCUGUAUCUACUUCUUUCAGCCCAAACCCAGAUGAGUCACUGAGAGAACUUCGGACAGGGAUUCUUCACCAUGAGAUUGAUGGCAGGGAGUGGAAGAAUUGUAAUUCUGGAGAAACAGCCCUUAAAUUACGGGCAUUGUUCUGGGGAAAAAAGUGCUUUCCUAUUCAGCAGAUCUGCAAAGGCGUCUGUGACUCUCCAAAAGACUACAGAUUUAGGGAGUACAGUGCAGGUGUGUUUUAGAAAAAUAAAUUUUUUAAAAAUUGAAAGAUUAGGUAUUUUUCUGUCUUCCAAGUAAUAGUUCAGAUAAACCUGGUGUUUGUGCGGCCUCUCUUGUUUUGUCAUGAGGUCAGCGAGCCAUGGUAGUUGCAUAUGGAUUAGUUGUGAUUUCUCCUUAUGUGGCAGGCUGAGCCCCAGAGGAUUAGAACUAAAGCUCAGGACUUCGGCUGUCUUUUGGAUGGCUGCCUGGGUAGAUAUGCAGAUGAGCUCUCCGCACAACGAUAUUGGGGCUCCAUCAUGUGUGGGGUUGGGAGUGGGGACAAGAAGUCAGAGGAUGGGGUAUAGUUUUUCCUCACCCUUGCUCCUAGGUUAAGUCCUCAUUGGUCUCCCUGUAGAGUCUCCUGUGGAGAUGGGUUUGUAGCCUGUCUGCUUGGAUGGCCCUACAGAUUGGAUGCCUUGAGUGUGGUCUUUGCCUUGAAGGUUUGCUUGUCCUUUUGUGUUGUAACAAUGUAGUUUUAGGGUUCAAGUAUGGAGUUGUGAAUUGACCUGGACCAGAGUUGCCUCAGAUUCCCUCCUCUUUGCAGAAUGUAGGCAGGUAUUGGUGUGGGGAUCCAGGGUAUUUACUGGUAAGGGAAAGAAUGUGUUUGUUCAUGAUGGUAGGAAAGGCCCCCUUAUUGGCUUGCUUCUUGGCAGACCUAAGAGCUGAGAUACAGCCAUGUGGUAGUGCUCAAGAGGUCUGAGCAGACUUCCUUGAGAUGAUCGGAGCGAUUGGAUUCCCUCUGCCUGCACAUGGGUAACAUUUGAGAUUCCAGUUUGGUUCUGAAUUCUCUCUCAUUGCCUUCUGCCAGGCCACCCUAUCCCUGACAUUGUUAGUGCCAUAAGAAGUCAUGGAUGUUGUGAUGCCGGUGGGAUGAAUAUGGCUCCAGGAAAGAAUAGAAUAGAGAGGGGUUCAUUAAGUUAAGGCUUGGGGCUAUAACAUCAGAGCCACCCUGAAAAUCACAGGGAAGAACCAGCAGGAGGGUGAGAAGAGACAGUGUAUUCAUAUUUUGGCUUUGGCAUUUUUUCUGCAUAGACAAGGGCCUGUAAAGCUAUAUUAGAUACUAUGUAGGUUCAACCCUCCACUGUUAGGGUAAAAUCUACCUUGGAUAGAGAACCUGUUUGGGAAGAAGAAGCAAGAUGGGCGGGUGACCCUGACCUUCUCUGAGGUAUCAGUUGCAUCAUCUCAGGCCUCCUCUGCCUGAUCCUUCUGUCAUCUGCUCCAUUAGCUCCUAGGCUUUUGCAAAACUGGAAACCCUUCAUCUGGAGCCCUCAAGAGCAGUACUACUUAAUAUGUCAAUCUGCAAUGAGAUAAGAAGCAUAUUUACCAGAAUGUAAGACUGAUCUCUUCAUCAAGAAAAUCUUGUAUGAAAAAAUGUUAGAACUAGACAGUGUGUUUACUCUGACAUGAUUGAUUUACAUUCAGGCUUCAUGUAAGUUUUCUAUAUAGUGACCAGCCAGUAACACAGUUUGCAGAUUGGCAGCUAAUCUGCAGACCGUACUUGGAAUAGCAAUGCUCUAGAGCUGCCUGUCAUUCAGAAGCAGUUGUUGAGGUCAUGGAAUUGUUUGUUUGGUACAGGCCAAGGGCAGCCAGAAAUAUAGAGCUGUCACCCAGAGCAUUCAGAAGAGCUGGUUAAGAAGAGCUGUCACCCAGAGCAUUCAGACAUGGGUCAGGGCAGCUACUGAGGAAAAGAGGGGCACAAUGAGAAUUUAACAGCUGAACAGAUGAUCAGGCAGUGCCUAUGCCAAGGGUAGAUGCCAUGUCCUCCCUUUCCUUUACCACAGGCAUGUGAGCUGAGGGACUAGAGCUAGGGUCUUGGUUUUGCCUGUUGCUUCUAAUGGCAAGUUGGCCGCACCAAGCUUACCCUGUCUUCCCAGGAAAACGGCAUACACUGGAGAAGAAUGUGUUGGUUGUCUCUGUAGUCACACCUGGAUGUAACCAGCUUCCUACUUUGGAGUCGGUGGAGAAUUAUACCCUGACCAUAAAUGAUGACCAGUGUUUACUCCUCUCUGAGACUGUCUGGGGAGCUCUCCGAGGUAACAAAUUGGGGCUGAUUAAAAGAGAGAGAGAAAGGAUGAUGUGGGAAGGUUGGUGUUGGUGGAGUGCAGUGUCCCAGUCCCUGCUCACUGCAACCUCUGCCUCCUAGGCUCAAGCAAUCUUCCCUCUUUAGCCUCCCAAGUAGCUGGGAUUACAGGUGCCUGCCACCAUGCCCAGCUAAUUCUUAUAUUUUUAGUAGAGAUGGGAUUUCACCAUAUUGCCCAGGCCAGUCUUGAACUCCUGAGUUCAAGUGAUCCACCCAUCUCGGCCUCCCAAAGUUCUGGGAUUACAUGUGUGUGCCACCACGCCCAGCCAGGAAGCUUUUUUUAUGGGAACAAUUGGCAUGUUUUCCCGUCUCUGUGGAGCUGUCCCUGGAAGUUGACAGGUUUUACCCUGUGCAGCAUCAGCAACUGCUGCUGCCCUGGUCCGGGGCUCUGGGAAGCAGUGGGAGAGUCUGCGGGCUGAUGCUGUAGGUGCCAGCAGGGGACAGGUAGCUGGCGGGCAGGGGGAAUGAUGCUACCACAGACACUGCCUGUCCAGCUCUUGCUAAAGACAUGUAAUUGGAAAGGUUUUUUUAAAAGGAAAACUAUAACGAAAGAAAUAGAUACAUGCAAAAAAAAGAUAAAUAGUAGUGAAAUAUUUAGAACUACAUUAUUUCUGGAGAAAAUGAGUUUACUGGCUAAACUAUUGGCCCUUGUCCUUCUUCUGGGUUUACUGAGAAGGUAUUUGGUGCCUAGAUACAGACUUAGCCAAGUAUCUGUCCCACUUUUGGUAAACCCUCUGCUGGUGAAUGAUGAGGGAAACUCUCUCGGAAUUUCACACCUUGCUUUAGUUUGUCUUCAUUCCCUUGCCCCACUUCUAUGCUUGGAGCAACAGCGUGCUGCCUCCCCUUCCUGCCCUCUUGUACCUUUCAUGCAGGUGCUGAUGGUGAAUCAGGCUAGAGGUAAGGGAGCACCUGGAACUCCAGAAUGCUGGGUGUCAGAGUCAGAGUGGGGAGAAGCCGAAACAGUACACUAGCAGUCUGCUCAAAUCAGGUGCUGAGUGACUGCUGAGGUCUCAUGGAUUCUUUCACUUUGAAACUGGGGACUCUGAUAAUUUUCAUGGGGCUUCUGCAGGGUUUCCAGAAGAGGGGCCCCAGCUUUUGAGAACAUACAAUGCUCUGGAUUCAACAUACCUGUGUGUGGGCCUUGCUAGACUCUAGGAGACAGUGUCAGUGGACUAGGGGAGUCCUUCUGGGGCAGUUGCUGUCCACCACACCUCAGCUCCCUAUAGCUGGGUCUCUUCUCAGUCUCUGAAGAGGAAGAGUGGAUGAUUUUUUUUUAUCUUCUAGGUCCAGCCAUGAACCCAGACUCCUUGGAAACCCAAGCUUAUGAUCACUUUCUCACAAUUUAUUCUGGGACCCCUUUUCUCAGCUCUCUUAGCUCCUGAUACGGGUUAUCCAUGAAAAGCCCAACUCUUGCAGGCUGACUUGUCUCUGUGUCUGUCCUCAUGAGUAUAUGUCUUGGCCUCUCUUCUCAAUAUUCUUGUCAAGGCACAGGAAAUAUAGAUAAGAGGUAUGUGGAUUUUGAAGGUUAGUAUGUUGUAAGGAGGGGCACUAAAACCCUUACUCUGACAUCUCCCAAAAUGAAAUACAGAAGUAAAGAUGGAUACUGGCUUCCUAAUAUCCCCUUUUCAUCAGCGUUAAAAAUCGUCAAGCCUACACUACAUCCAUUUUCACUGUGUACCCAAACGUUAUGCUCUGCUACAUUGAGAACCUUCCAAAUAGAGACAUCUCUUUUUCCACUCCCUGAGUCUUUACUCUGCCUCUCUACUUCUUCCUAGGUCUGGAGACUUUUAGCCAGCUUGUUUGGAAAUCUGCUGAGGGCACAUUCUUUAUCAACAAGACUGAGAUCGAGGACUUUCCCCGCUUUCCUCACCGGGGCUUGCUGUUGGAUACAUCUCGCCAUUACCUGCCACUCUCUAGCAUCCUGGACACUCUGGAUGUCAUGGCGUACAAUAAAUUGAACGUGUUCCACUGGCAUCUGGUAGAUGAUCCUUCCUUCCCAUAUGAGAGCUUCACUUUUCCAGAGCUCAUGAGAAAGGGGUCCUACAACCCUGUCACCCACAUCUACACAGCACAGGAUGUGAAGGAGGUCAUUGAAUACGCACGGCUCCGGGGUAUCCGUGUGCUUGCAGAGUUUGACACUCCUGGCCACACUUUGUCCUGGGGACCAGGUAUCCCUGGAUUACUGACUCCUUGCUACUCUGGGUCUGAGCCCUCUGGCACCUUUGGACCAGUGAAUCCCAGUCUCAACAAUACCUAUGAGUUCAUGAGCACAUUCUUCUUAGAAGUCAGCUCUGUCUUCCCAGAUUUUUAUCUUCAUCUUGGAGGAGAUGAGGUUGAUUUCACCUGCUGGAAGUCCAACCCAGAUAUCCAGGACUUUAUGAGGAAGAAAGGCUUCGGUGAGGACUUCAAGCAGCUGGAGUCCUUCUACAUCCAGACGCUGUUGGACAUCGUCUCUUCUUAUGGCAAGGGCUAUGUGGUGUGGCAGGAGGUGUUUGAUAAUAAAGUAAAGGUACCCCUGAGCAGAAGGCUCUGGUGAUUGGUGGAGAGGCUUGUAUGUGGGGAGAAUAUGUGGACAACACAAACCUGGUCCCCAGGCUCUGGCCCAGAGCAGGGGCUGUUGCCGAAAGGCUGUGGAGCAACAAGUUGACAUCUGACCUGACAUUUGCCUAUGAACGUUUGUCACACUUCCGCUGUGAGUUGCUGAGGUAAGCAAGCUGUGGGGCCUUCGCAAGGCGGAGUAGGGCAGAUCCAGGGCUGGGGAACCCCUUAGAGAGAGGAAGAGAAUAAUUAACAAUAGCUAACACUUACAGAGGCUUAUAGUCGGCCCUCAUCCACGGAUUCAGCCAACUGCGAUAAAAAGUAUUCAGG